UUGGUUGAAACCAAAGUAGAGGUGUAUCACUGUUAAUGAUAAAAUUGAAGAUUACUUCCAAUCAAG
rnacentral:tRNA from 2 species